rnacentral:lncRNA from 1 species
GGGAGGGCGAGCCGCCCAGGCUGCCCGCGCCGCGAGCCGGGCGGAGGGCGGCGGAGCGGUCCCGGAGUGAUGACGCGCUUCCUGUCCUCCCGGCGGGGGUCUGCGCUGGAGUCCGCAGCGGCGGCGGCUGCGGAGCCGGCGGGAGCGGGGGGAAAGAGGGGAGGAAGGAAGGCAGGGAGGAAGGAGACGAGCGGCGGCGGGGCGAGGCGAGGCGAUGCUGCAGUAACGCCCUUGUCGAGCUGGUUACUGAAAGCAUCCUGCGUGGUCAAACAGUACACUGAGACAGCCUUAUUUUUUUAUGAAAUGAAGUUUAAUUUUGAGACUAAUUUGGAGAGAACCGGGCCUUUUUGUCAUUUCUGGCUGCCUGAAUAGUGUGUACUGCUCCCUUCUAAAUUCACCAGUGAAACACUAAUUGGACUUUGAGUUCAGCAUACACACAACACGGUGCUGGAAGAAGCUAGUAGCUCAUGGGUCCCUUCAUAACUCUUUUCAGAACAAAGUGUCUUUUGGGAUGUCUGAAAACAGCAUUGAGUUUGAAGGAGACCAGACUGUCAGUGCAUUUUGGUCCUUCCUUCCUUAAGGAGUAAUAUUUGAACACGAUAUCAGCUCAAGACUUAAGAAGCAAUGUAGGUGGCUUGCGAGUCUCACCUUUGGGUGCAAUAGAAGAAGCAGAGGAGAGAGGAGCGUUUGUAGCUCUUGUGAACUUCUGUUCACUGAUGUCAGCUUAUAUAUCUUACUUUUUUAAAGAAGGGUAGCAAAUAGGAGAGGAGAGUCCAGAGAGAGCUGCAGUAAAUUCCCCUGCAGACAGAGGAGGGAGCAGGAGCUGUAGCACCAUACUGCUCCAGAAGCCCACAGCCAGGUUGUACAGAAGGCCUGGGAGUUAGGAUUGCUUUCUGAGCAACUUGCUCAGGCUGUUUUUCAUGCUCAUGUGGCUUUUUUUACAUCUGUUACUGUGCCAGUUUCUUUUGAGUGCAUAUAU